rnacentral:sRNA from 1 species
UCUUCUCAUCUUCUUCUAUCUCCAUGCUUUUGUAUUGUGAGAUCUCCACUAAUGGGGUCCCUUGAAGCAUAAUAAUUGAUGAGAGGCACCUUUGUUCUUGUGGCUUUUUGAUUCACUGGACCUUCUCCUACUGACCCAAAAAUACCAGGGGCCAUUUCGGCAUCAUCCUGGAAUCUCCUUUACUUGCCAUGGAAUAUAUUAAAGCGACGAAAGGAGCUCCAAGUACAGCAGCUGGCAGACCAAGUGAAUGUUAAGCACUGGGAUGGCAAGUCCUUGGAAGAUCAAUAAUCAUUGAAUUUUGAAUCCAGUGAUCAAACUCUUGACGACAACCCAAGAAAUCCCGAGAUCAAUCCGAUAUCGAUCGACUUUUACGAUUUGUUGUUGGCCACUGUGAUUUGUGACCUUCUUUUCUUUUUUCUUCUUCUCUUUUCUGAUCAAAAUUUUCUUUUUAUUCAGUCCUUUGGAUAUGGAUUACAGAAUUAAAGCUAACAAUCCCUUUGGAAUAUAUUUCUUUUUGAGACUUUUAUGCAGAGUGAGAGCCUGUAGAUUGCCCUUUAUGUCAUUUCCAUUUGUUUAGAGAGAGAAAAAGAAGGGAGAGAGAGGUUGUGUUGCUUUGUACCAAGACAAUACUUAUUCAGAGUUUUAUCCUUUGUACCCG